rnacentral:rRNA from 1 species
GACAGAGGGUGCAAACGUUGUUCGGAAUUACUGGGCGUAAAGCGCGUGUAGGCGGUUCGGCAAGUCGGAUGUGAAAGCCCUGGGCUCAACUCAGGAAGUGCACUCGAAACUGCCGAGCUGGAGUCCUGGAGAGGAAGCGGAAUUCACGGUGUAGCAGUGAAAUGCGUAGAUAUCGUGAGGAACACCAGAGGCGAAGGCGGCUUCCUGGACAAUUGCUGACGCUCAGGCACGAAAGCGUGGGGGAG